rfam:Loxodonta africana unplaced genomic scaffold scaffold_108, whole genome shotgun sequence.
ACAAAGGCUCUUUUCAGAGCCACUUCUAUAGUCAUAAAAAAAGGUG